UUCUAGCCCUAAAUCAUCAAAACCCUUCAAAUUGAAAGGCUAAACGUGUUAAAAUUCCUUGCAUGAAUCAAGAUUAUUGAUCAACUAAGCUAGGGUAAUCUUAAGGCGACUCGAGAGGAAAGUCGGGUGAUCAAGUCGGAGGUGAUACACGGCUCAAAGGAAAGCUCUAAGGUAAAGUUUAAAUCAAGGACUCGGAUGAAGAUCAAGCCGCGCAUGGAACCAAAUGCUAAUUCGUUCGCCCUUGUGUCAAGCGCAAGUUUGUCAAUUGGAUUUAUGUUUAACCCAUUGACCAGAUUGGUGAGCCUCGCUACGGUCAGAUCAUCUAGUAAACAGUAAUCGUACAACAUAGUUCAUCAAACGGGUUCUAGAUGCCCCUUUUUACUAUUUUGGGCUGAUAUACACGCAACCUUAAAUGGUAUUACUUACCGAAGUAUUUGAUUCCCAUUACGUGAUUAUUGAUUGAUGUUUCAUGUUUUAUA